GACGAACGCUGGCGGCGUGCUUAACACAUGCAAGUCGAACGGAAAGGCCCUGCUUUGGUGGGGUGCUCGAGUGGCGAACGGGUGAGUAACACGUGAGUAACCUGCCCUGGACUUUGGGAUAACUUCAGGAAACUGGGGCUAAUACCGGAUAGGAGCUCGUGCUGCAUGGUGGGGGUGGGAGAGUUUCGGCGGUUGGGGAUGGACGCGCGGCUUAUCAGCUUGUUGGUGGGGUAGUGGCUUACCAAGGCUGUGACGGGUAGCCGGCCUGAGAGGGUGACCGGCCACAUUGGGACUGAGAUCCGGCCCAGACUCCUACGGGAGGCAGCAGUGGGGAAUAUUGAACAAUGGGCGGAAGCCUGAUGCAGCAACGCCGCGUGCGGGAUGACGGCCUUCGGGUUGUAACCCGCUUUCGCAUGUGACGAAGCGUGAGUGACGGUAAUGGGUAAAGAAGCACCGGCUAACCACGUG
rnacentral:rRNA from 1 species